UAGAAAAAUGGCAUCCUAAAAGUUGUUGAGUCGAAGACCAAAGGAAAUGCAUCCGAUCCUUGUGUUAUACUUUGCCUUCAAAGAAGAGGGAAGAGCUAUUGAAAAGAGAAGGAAAUCCUACCAGUGCUGGGUGUCUGGUAGAGCUCCUGAUGGUAGAAUCCAACACUACAUGUUAAAGAUUCGAGAUUAGUUGUGAGCUAGGAAAGAUGUAAACAGGAUUGCUACACUAAAUGACUUUGUUAGUGAACAGAAUGAAAAGGCAGGAUGGAAUUGAGGUUGCUACAGGCUUCACGCCUAUCACUGAAGAAAACCGAGGAGGAAAUGUUCAAAUCAACUCUCUAUAAAUUAAAGAAACAUUUAUAAUUCCAUAAAAUUGUCUGAGAGAGGACACUUGGACUUGGAUGGCCACAGGAAUUAGAGAAAAGCAAAUCAGCAAAAUACAUGGUCUUAUCUCGGAUAUGUUUGGUAAUGUCAUUACCGGAAACAUUUUACAUGCAGUCAUUCACUCAUCGGUUAUUGUGAUGUGCCUCUGCAUUGAGAAGAACAUUAACCUAAUAAACUUGAUGAAAGAGACUUUAUUUCCAUAUUUCUACCAAUGUAAUUUCACAAAAACAGUUAAAGGGGAGGAUGUAAUGGUGACUCCCCUUAUGGUGUAUGACAGAGUGUUAGAUUUUCCCUUUGAAUUGUCUUUGAUUCAACUUUGAGACAGAGAGAGAAUUAGCACCAGUUGCACCAGAGGUCAGAGGGCUUUAUUCUGUGUACCCCUUCACUGGAAGGCCUCAUUCAGAGGGUGUAUUGGUUAUUGCCCUCCUCGCUGUAAACUUCCUUCAAACUUUAGAUUUAAAAAAAGGAAGAAAGAAACCUCUCAGAGAUGGCAACUGCAUACUUUUCCAAAUCUGGAUGUAUUCUUUUUGUUCCAACUUGAAAGCUAGAUCCACAUGAAUUUACCUCCUUGUUCUUAAAAUUCCUUUUGAUUGCAUCAAAUAACCAUCAGUAAAAGACAUUUCACUUUAAUAAAUUGCCUUCAAAUCAGA